AGAGCGCAAGAUAGCUACAUAGCGUAUAUUAAAGUUGUUGCAGUUAAAAAGCUCGUAGUUGAAUUUCGGGAUUGACACAUCGGUCGUGCCUUAAGGGGUAUGAACUGGUGUAGUCAAUUUCUCACCUUCUGGAGAACCGCGAUGCCCUUAAUUGGGUGUCACGGGGAACCAGGACCUUUACUUUGAAAAAAUUAGAGUGUUUAAAGCAGGCAUUUUGCUUGAAUACAUUAGCAUGGAAUAAUAAAAUAGGACGGCAUGAUUCUAUUUUGUUGGUUUCUAGGAUCACCGUAAUGAUUAAUAGGGAUAGUUGGGGGCAUUAGUAUUCAAUUGUCAGAGGUGAAAUUCUUGGAUUUAUUGAAGACUAACUACUGCGAAAGCAUUUGCCAAGGAUGUUUUCAUUAAUCAAGAACGAAAGUUAGGGGAUCGAAGACGAUCAGAUACCGUCGUAGUCUUAACCAUAAACUAUGCCGACUAGGAAUCAGACGAUGUUAAUUUUUUAAUGACUCGUUCGGCGCACGGGGGAAAAACAAAAG
rnacentral:rRNA from 1 species